AGCGAGGCUAGAGUCACGCCUGGGUAUGACCCGUUGUCCUGGUGUGCUUGAGCGCUCGCAGAGUAAAUGUCUUUGUUAAUUCAUUGGCUGCAGUCUGUCGUGGCAAAGUCAAUCACCGACUCAGACACAUCG
ensembl:snoRNA